UACGGAGGGUGCGAGCGUUAAUCGGAAUUACUGGGCGUAAAGCGCACGCAGGCGGUUUGUUAAGCUAGAUGUGAAAGCCCCGGGCUCAACCUGGGAUGGUCAUUUAGAACUGGCAGACUAGGGUCUUGGAGAGGGGAGUGGAAUUCCAGGUGUAGCGGUGAAAUGCGUAGAUAUCUGGAGGAACAUCAGUGGCGAAGGCGACUCCCUGGCCAAAGACUGACGCUCAUGUGCGAAAGUGUGGGUAGCGAACAGG
rnacentral:rRNA from 1 species